rnacentral:tRNA from 1 species
AGUCGGGUACAAUUGAGCGUUGGUGAGAGCGACCGGCUCAUACCCGGUAGGUCGGCGGUUCAAGUCCGCCCGCCGCUACCA